GACGAACGCUGGCGGCGUGCCUAAUACAUGCAAGUUGAGCGCUGAAGGUUGGUACUUGUACCAACUGGAUGAGCAGCGAACGGGUGAGUAACGCGUGGGGAAUCUGCCUUUGAGCGGGGGACAACAUUUGGAAACGAAUGCUAAUACCGCAUAAAAACUUUAAACACAAGUUUUAAGUUUGAAAGAUGCAAUUGCAUCACUCAAAGAUGAUCCCGCGUUGUAUUAGCUAGUUGGUGAGGUAAAGGCUCACCAAGGCGAUGAUACAUAGCCGACCUGAGAGGGUGGUCGGCCACAUUGGGACUGAGACACGGCCCAAACUCCUACGGGAGGCAGCAGUAGGGAAUCUUCGGCAAUGGACGAAAGUCUGAGCGAGCAACGCCGCGUGAGUGAAGAAGGGUGUCGGAUCGUAAAACUCGGUUGGUAGAGAAGAACGUUGGUGAGAGUGGAAAGCUCAUCAAGUGACGGUAACUACCCAGAAAGGGACGGCUAACUACGUG
rnacentral:rRNA from 1 species